rnacentral:rRNA from 1 species
UACGUAGGUGGCAAGCGUUGUCCGGAAUUAUUGGGCGUAAAGCGCGCGCAGGCGGUUCCUUAAGUCUGAUGUGAAAGCCCACGGCUCAACCGUGGAGGGUCAUUGGAAACUGGGGAACUUGAGUGCAGAAGAGAAGAGUGGAAUUCCACGUGUAGCGGUGAAAUGCGUAGAGAUGUGGAGGAACACCAGUGGCGAAGGCGACUCUUUGGUCUGUAACUGACGCUGAGGAGCGAAAGCGUGGGGAGCAAACAGGAUUAGAUACCCU